AUUGAACGCUGGCGGCACGCCUAACACAUGCAAGUCGAGCGGCAGCGAGACUAGUAGCAAUACUAGUUGUCGGCGAGCGGCGGACGGGUGAGUAACACGUAGGAAUCUGCCCUUAAGCGGGGGAUAACCAAGGGAAACUUUGGCUAAUACCGCCUAAUCCCGAGAGAGCAAAGCUGCCUGCAAGGGUGGCACUUGAGGAGGAGCCUGCGUCCGAUUAGCUAGUUGGUGGGGUAAUGGCUUACCAAGGCGAUGAUCGGUAACGGGUCUGAGAGGACGACCAGUCACACUGGGACUGAGGCGCGGCCCAGACUCCUACGGGAGGCAGCAGUGGAGAAGAUUUGACAAUGGGGGCAACCCUGAUCCAGCGAUGCCGCGUGAGUGAAGAAGGCCUUCGGGUCGUAAAGCUCUUUAGGUUGGGAAGAAGGGUAUUGGCUGAAUAAUCCAGUACUUUGACGGUACCGACAGAAUAAGCACCGGCAAACUCUGUGCCAGCCGCCCCGUAAGAC
rnacentral:rRNA from 1 species